rnacentral:rRNA from 1 species
AGAGUUUGAUCCUGGCUCAGGACGAACGCUGGCGGCGUGCUUAACACAUGCAAGUCGAGCGGUAAGGCCCUUCGGGGUACACGAGCGGCGAACGGGUGAGUAACACGUGGGUGAUCUGCCUCGCACUUCGGGAUAAGCCUGGGAAACUGGGUCUAAUACCGGAUAUGACUUCUGGUCGCAUGGCUGGGGGUGGAAAGAUUUAUCGGUGCGAGAUGGGCCCGCGGCCUAUCAGCUUGUUGGUGGGGUAAUGGCCUACCAAGGCGACGACGGGUAGCCGGCCUGAGAGGGCGACCGGCCACACUGGGACUGAGACACGGCCCAGACCCCUACGGGAGGCAGCAGUGGGGAAUAUUGGACAAUGGGCGCAAGCCUGAUCCAGCCAUGCCGCGUGAGUGAUGAAGGCCUUAGGGUUGUAAAGCUCUUUCGGCGGGGAAGAUAAUGACGGUACCCGCAGAAGAAGCCCCGGCAAACUUCGUGCCAGCAGCCGCGGUAAUACGAAGGGGGCUAGCGUUGUUCGGAAUCACUGGGCGUAAAGGGCGCGUAGGCGGCUUUGUAAGUCGGGGGUGAAAGCCUGUGGCUCAACCACAGAAUUGCCUUCGAUACUGCAUGGCUUGAGACCGGAAGAGGUAAGUGGAACUGCGAGUGUAGAGGUGAAAUUCGUAGAUAUUCGCAAGAACACCAGUGGCGAAGGCGGCUUACUGGUCCGGUUCUGACGCUGAGGCGCGAAAGCGUGGGGAGCAAACAGGAUUAGAUACCCUGGUAGUCCACGCCGUAAACGAUGAAUGCCAGCCGUUGGCGCGCUUGCGCGUCAGUGGCGCCGCUAACGCUUUAAGCAUCCCGCCUGGGGAGUACGGUCGCAGAUUAAACUCAAGGAAUUGACGGGGCCCAAGCGUGGAGCAUAAUUCGAAGCACGCGCAACCUUACCAUUGACAUGUCCAGUGGGGCGGAGACGCCUUUCAGUUCCUGGCUGGACACAGUGCUGCAUGCGUCGUCAGCUCGUGUCGUGAGAUGUGGGUUAAGUCCCCAACGAGCGCACCCUCGCCCUAGGUGCCAGCUUCAGUGGGCCCUCUAGGGGACUGCCGGGGAUUAGCCCCGAGGAAGUGGGGGUGGCGUCCAGUCCUCCAGGGCCCUACAAGGUGGGGUACACACCUGGUACAAAGGGGGGGGCAAAGGGCCCGGAAAGGGCCACCCGGGACCAAUUCCCAAAAACCGUUCAUUCGGAUUCCCCUUUGCCAAUUGGGGGCCAGGAGGGGGAAACCGUUGUAAUUGGGGAACCACCCCCCCCGGUGGAUACGGUCCCCGGCCUUGUACCCCCCCCCCCUCCCCCCCUGGGAAGUGGUUUUUCCCGGCGGCCGUUCCCCCACCCCGAGGGGGCCGGCGGCCCCCGUAGGGUCAAUGACUGGGGUUAAGUCGUAACAAGGUAGCCGU